CUCCUGUAUGCCAACGAAGAAGGAACGUGUCCGUCCCACUAGACCUCUCAGCAAGGUGUCUGAACCACCACCGUUGUCGAGGCAAGCCUCCCCGAAUACAUCCCCUCCCUAGGCCUCGAUAAACUUCUCCCAUCGUUAGUAGCUCCAUUUCUCAACCAUGGCGACGAGUGCAAAGCGAAAACAAGAGGAGACGCAUCUCAAGAUGCUUCGGGAAAUGACUAGCCAACCCCCGAAUAGGAAGUGCUUUGAUUGCGACCAGCGCGGCCCGACUUAUGCCAACAUGACAGUGGGUUCCUUCGUCUGUACCACCUGUUCUGGCAUCUUACGAGGGCUGAAUCCCCCCCACAGAGUGAAGUCCAUCUCUAUGACCACCUUCACGCAACAGGAAAUCGAAUUCCUACAGAAACACACCAACGAGGUUUGUAAACACAUCUGGUUGGGGCUGUACAAUGACCGGACAUUGGUUGUUCCAGACUUCCACGAACCACAGAAAGUAAAAGAAUUCCUCCAGGAAAAGUACGAGAAAAAAAGAUGGUACGUCUCUCCAGACCAGGCUAGAACGGUAGCCUCAGCCCAGGCUUCCAAGUCGGGCACCUCAGCCAGCAGCACAGGCAGCACCCCGGAGGUCCAGCCCCUGAGAACCCUGCAGCUUAACAAGACCCCCCCAACGCGUCAGUCUCCAGUGGUGGUUCGCUCCCAGGCCUAUCCUAUAGUUCAGGAGAAGAAGUUUGACCUCCUAUCUGACCUGGGUGGAGACAUCUUUGCCACUCCGCCCUCUCAGGCUGCCAGCAACUCCAACUUUGCCAACUUUGCACAUUUCCCGAGCCAGUCAGCGACUCAGGUUAGCUCAAACGCCGACUUUGCCAACUUUGAGGCGUUUGGCAACUCUGGAGUACCUUCACAUUUCAGCACCUCACCCCCCUCACAGUCCUUUGCAUCAGGGCGAGGUGUCCCAGUGCCGUCGGUGGCCGGUGCUGUACCGGCUCCGUCCCAGCUGGGCACUUCAGCAGAGGACCGCUACGCUGCUCUUGCUGAGCUGGACAACGAGCUGAGCUCUUCGGCCCCCACAGGGAGCAGUGUCCAGGGGAAUAUGUUUGGAGCUGCGUUGGGUACCUCGCCUGCCCAGACUCAGUCAGUAUUACCCAGCAUGCAUGUGCAGCAAGGCUUUGGAGCCAUCCCGUCCAAUAAUCCAUUUGUUGCCGCCGCCCCGGAUAUGGCCACCAACCCCUUCCAGACUAAUGCCUCGUUUGGCACAGGCUCUAUGAGUAUGCCUGCUGGCUUUGGGAACCCCUCCUCUUACUGCCUCCCGACCAGUUUCAGUGGGACAUUCCAGCAGCCCUUCCCUGGCCAGGCCCCUUGCCCUUACACCCAGCCAGGGGCCUACCACCCCCAGCAACCCAACGCCAGAUUCUUUUCUCUGCAUGGACAGGCCCUGGUGGAUACCCAGUCUACGGGCAGACCAAGCCCUCCAUGACCCCCUUUGGGCAGCCCAUGGCUGGGCCGGGGAUGACCAAUAACCCAUUCAUGGCGGGAGCCCCGGCUGGAUCCUACCCCGCUGGAGGCUCUUCCACCAACCCCUUCCUGUAGCGCGUCUAUCUCCUCGUCAACACCACCAGAGGGCAGCAUGCAGCACCUAUUCAAUGCACCGGCUCCGUCACACCCUGUGAUGUGAACGUACAGUUCUGAAACUCUGAAUUCAAGUUUUUAUUAAAAGCUUAGUUUAUGACACUAUAAAGGACUAUGGGAUUUGGGACUGCCAUGGAAUGAUGCCCUUGGACUAAAUACAUUCUCUAUACAUUUAUUUUUUUUGCUCAUUUGACAGCUCUUUAUUGUGCAUUUGUAAUCACAUUAAAAUACAAGGUAUAAUAAGGACUUGACAUGGUUGGGCAACAUUAUGGAUGUGCCGCUAUGUUUUUACCAGUGUGUUUAUAGGAUAACAAUCAGGGUUGUAUACAAGUCUAGGAGGAAACUGAGGUGACGUGAAGAGUUUUUGCCUCGAAUUAUGUGAAUUAUCAGGCUGGCAGAGGAGAUAUGCACCUAAUUCUAUUUGAGGGGCUACUGGCGGUCAAAUUCAGUAUAAUUUAAUUCUGUGUAAAAUAAACUAUGUAAUGUGUAACGGUUUCAAUGGGCAUGGUGCCUCUGCCUGUAGAUGUGGCAUCCGGGAAAGGGACUUUUAUUUGGUCCGUAAUUAAUACCACUAUUACUGCACGUGGCCCUGUUCUUAUUAGGCUCAAAACACCAUAGUGCUAUCCCAAGGCGUUGCAACAGCAUUUUGCCUAGCGGUUUACAAAACCGUUGAAUAACCUUGAAUACAACCCAGGUCUUUUACCCUUACUCUUUUUUUAUUUGUUACUAGGAUAAGUCCAAGUGUAACAACAGCCCAAACACACUAACGUUAGCGAGUUUUGAGUCCGUUUGGAAAGGAACAAAUGCCUGGUAACAAAAAAACAUGAGACCCCAGACUCCAGCACUAGCCGUUUUGAUGACAGGCAGGUGUCUACUGCAGCACAAAAUGAGAGGGAAGGAGAGUAGGGAAUAGAGAGGAAAGGUUCUUGUGCUCUAAGCGAGCCCUCCAUGUAACCUGACACGCAUGUGUGUAUAAAACACCUGAGAAGUUUGUUUUUAUUUGGAGAGAUGGUUACUUGUGGCACCCAAUCACUUUUAAUGAAUUUAAUCGUUACUUGCCAUUACAGGAAUAUGUAAGUCAAUGUGUACAUAUAUAAAUAUAUGUAUAAAUAUUAAAGAUUUUUAACUACAA